rnacentral:rRNA from 1 species
CAGUCGCCGCGGUAAAACGAAGGGUGCAAGCGUUAAUCGGAAUUACUGGGCGUAAAGCGUGCGUAGGCGGUUCGUUAAGUCUGUAGUGAAAGCCCCGGGCUCAACCUGGGAAUGGCAAUGGAUACUGGCGAGCUAGAGUGUGUCAGAGGAUGGUGGAAUUCCCGGUGUAGCGGUGAAAUGCGUAGAGAUCGGGAGGAACAUCAGUGGCGAAGGCGGCCAUCUGGGACAACACUGACGCUGAGGCACGAAAGCGUGGGGAGCAAACAGGAUUAGAUACCCGUGUAGUCCCUGUCUCUUAUAC